rnacentral:rRNA from 1 species
CGGGUGAGUAACACGUAGGUAAUCUACCUCCGGGUGGGGAAUAACAGCCGGAAACGGCUGCUAAUACCGCAUAAUGCAGCGGCACCACAUGGUGACAGUUGUUAAAGCGGGGGAUCGCAAGACCUCGCGCCUGGAGAGGAGCCUGCGGCGGAUUAGCUAGUUGGUGGGGUAACGGCCCACCAAGGCGACGAUCCGUAGCCGGCCUGAGAGGGCGGUCGGCCACACUGGCACUGACACACGGGCCAGACUCCUACGGGAGGCAGCAGUCGGGAAUUUUGGGCAAUGGGCGCAAGCCUGACCCAGCAACGCCGCGUGAAGGAUGAAGUUUUUCGGAGUGUAAACUUCAUAAGAAUGGGACGAAUAGACGCGGGCCAACACCCCGCGUGAUGACGGUACCAUUUGUAAGCUCCGGCUAACUCCGUGCCAGCAGCCGCGGUAAUACGGGGGGAGCAAGCGUUGUUCGGAUUUACUGGGCGUAAAGGGCGCGUAGGCGGCGCAACAAGUCACUUGUGAAAUCUCCGGGCUUAACUCGGAGCGGCCAAGUGAUACUGUCGUGCUAGAGUGCGGAAGGGGCUACUGGAAUUCUCGGUGUAGCGGUGAAAUGCGUAGAUAUCGAGAGGAAC